rnacentral:rRNA from 1 species
ACGGAAGGCAGCAGUGGGGGAUAUUGCACAAUGGGCGCAAGCCUGAUGCAGCGACGCCGCGUGAGUGAAGAAGUAUUUCGGUAUGUAAAGCUCUAUCAGCAGGGAAGAAAAUGACGGUACCUGACUAAGAAGCUCCGGCUAAAUACGUGCCAGCAGCCGCGGUAAUACGUAUGGAGCAAGCGUUAUCCGGAUUUACUGGGUGUAAAGGGUGCGUAGGCGGUGAUGCAAGUCAGAAGUGAAAACCCGGGGCUCAACCCCGUGGAUUGCUUUUGAGACUGUGUUGCUGGAGUACAGGAGGGGCAGGCGGAAUUCCUGGUGUAGCGGUGAAAUGCGUAGAUAUCAGGAGGAACACCGGUGGCGAAGGCGGCCUGCUGGACUGUAACUGACGCUGAGGCUCGAAGGCGUGGGGAGCAAACAGGAUUAGAUACCCUGGUA